GUGAGCUUGAAAAGAAAGAUAGUUUAUCUCCCUCCCUCGCUUCAUCCCCGCACUCUUCCUUAAAGCCACAUCCCUCAGUGCAGAAGCCUGGCCGUCCGCAGCCUGUGGUGCACGUGCGGGGCCCAUCUGUGCCGGGUGUUUGUCAUUAUUAAGUGACCCUGAUGAGAAUAACCUUGCACGGCUGGGAGCAACUCAGCAUUCUUCUUGGUCACCAAUUUUCCUUCCAAGCCAAUUGCUCAAAGCAACCAAAUACCAAAGUUUUCGUCAGAAUGCCUCGCUCCACAUGCACUGAUGAACAACACCUGCUCCUGGGUCACGGGGCCGGCAGCCUGGAUGUGUUUUACGCAGAGGAUGGGGUGGAGACACAGGUGCCGGAAGCUUUUCCCUACCGGGUCCAGCCGUUUGGGUGGAUGCUGGCCGGCCCAGCUCUGGAUGUGUGGGACUGGGCUGUUCCCAGGUGGCUGCCUCUCCUGGUUCUCCGCUGGGAAGUCAACGGCAGACUGAUAAGGUUUUGCCCAGCUCCCUGAAGCCUGGUCUUGGUUAACUGGGAGCGUGUCGUAGGGAGUGGGGUUAGGGAAGAGAUGGGGACAUCUGGUUUUUGUCCUGCCCACUGCUUGGGACAGGAUGGUUCAGUCAGACCACAUUUGCAAAGCGAGAGCCGUCUGUGGAGUCCUGGCCCGUGGGGUCCUGGUGUUGGGUCUCUCUGCCGCCGCCGUGCGUGCUGUGAGGGGAGCACUGUCUUCUGAGAAUGGGAUGGGGAACCACACACAACCAAGGGGCCCCCAAGUCCGCCUGGGAGGGUGGAGGCUGCACCGGGUAGAGUGUGCUGAGGCCAGGGUGGGUG
rnacentral:lncRNA from 1 species